rnacentral:rRNA from 1 species
CGCGUAGGCGGUUUGUUAAGUCAGAUGUGAAAGCCCUCGGCUCAACCGGGGACGUGCAUUUGAAACUGACAGACUUGAGUAUUGGAGGGGGUGGUGGAAUUCCCGGUGUAGAGGUGAAAUUCGUAGAUAUCGGGAGGAAUACCGGUGGCGAAGGCGACCACCUGGCCAAAUACUGACACUGAGGUGCGAAAGCGUGGGGAGCAAACA